rnacentral:rRNA from 1 species
AACGAACGCUGGCGGCAUGCCUAACACAUGCAAGUCGAACGAGACCUUCGGGUCUAGUGGCGCACGGGUGCGUAACGCGUGGGAACCUGCCCUUAGGUUCGGAAUAACUCCCCGAAAGGGGUGCUAAUACCGGAUAAUGUCUUCGGACCAAAGAUUUAUCGCCUUUGGAUGGGCCCGCGUUGGAUUAGCUAGUUGGUAGGGUAAAAGCCUACCAAGGCGACGAUCCAUAGCUGGUCUGAGAGGAUGAUCAGCCACACUGGGACUGAGACACGGCCCAGACUCCUACGGGAAGCAGCAGUGGGGAAUAUUGGACAAUGGGCGAAAGCCUGAUCCAGCAAUGCUGCGUGAGUGAUGAAGGCCUUAGGGUUGUAAAGCUCUUUUACCCGGGAUGAUAAUGACAGUACCGGGAGAAUAAGCUCCGGCUAACUCCGUG